UGCCGGCUUCCCCUAGCGUGUGGGGCCCGGGGGCAGUUUCGUGGUCUUGCCCAGAAAUGUUUUUGAGGCUGUGAAAUAUCCCUUCACAGGGUGGUCGUGAAGAAUAAAGGCAGAAGCCCCGACAUCUAUCAUUCCAGCAGCUGAACCUGCCCAAAGCAUGUCCCAGUCUCCACUUCGGGUCCAACUCCUGCCCUCCCAGAACCAACAAGCCUCCAACUCCAUUGAGGGGUAAGCCUGGACCCCAAAUCUAGAGGGACAACGGUGCUCCCAAGGCCGCUCCACCUGAAGCGGCAAGUCUCAUUGACUAUCAUAUCAGUGCCCUAAACUUCCUGGUCUGCUGCUCGCCCCCUCCUCCUCCCCCAAAGGCCCUGGGCAGGAUGACUGUUUGACAGCUGGACCACAGGUACAGCCCUCGCUGAGCAGCCUGUGGGCAGAAACCAUCACUGCAAGGCCAGCAAAAGAAACCAGACACUUCAAGGCCAUCCCUACAGGUGGCACCUCCCCUAGGCUGAAAGAAACCCAAACUACAAAGUCUGAGAGGCUCUUAGGGUUUAGCAGAGUCUGGGGUGAGCAGCAGGUCGAAAUAGAAGGAAUAUCUGUGGAGCUGCCAGUGAAGAGAAAGGCUGGACACCAGUCUCGGGUGGGGGCUGCUGCAUGGAACCCAGCAUCCGGGAUCCCAGAAAAAAAGGUGCCCAGAACAAGAGGCUCGGGUCUUGGGCAAAGCAGGGGGUGUCAGAAGCAACUGCAACUGCUGCUUCCAGGGGGUGCAGACAAAGGCCUGUGGGGUCAAAGGGAGAGUCAUCUAAGAAGAGCAGGAUGCCUCCGUGUGGCAGCAGGCCUGCUUUAGGGACUGUGCCUGCCUGCAAGGCACAGCAAAGUGUCGCUGGUCUCCCCUGGAAAUGGGCCCCUACCUGAGUCACUUCAUAGAGGAAGCAAAGACAGACUCCUCCGGGAUUAAUCAGGAAUCUCCAGCCCUUAGGGAGGCUGUCUGGUUCCUAUCUAGCCUAAGGCUACCUUAGUGCCAGCCUUUCUUAAGUCAGCUGUGUUUUCAGUUCCUUGAAUCAUUCUUCCAACAAAUGCCUGCCCUUUGUUGUCUGCAACAGAAGAAAUGCAAUACGGCUACUAAGGGAAUGCUGCUGCUGCCCUGCUGCUGAAGAGACUAAGCUCAUGCAGCAUGGGGGCAGAGGGCAAGGAGUACCUUCAUCCUAUUUUCACAGGCUCCAACCAACAAAAAACCUGAGGAUCCCCAUACUUAGCAGAGUUGCCACUGAAUAAUAGCUAUGUAACCUGGUUGCCUAACUAAUCGACUUCCUGUAAAACGCACAGAGGCACCUGGACACCACCCAGACCAGCAAGUUCUGAAAGUGUAUGUCUCUGCCACCAUUCACCCCACAGAUGGUUAUUCAAUACCCGUUCACAGCCAGGCAUUGUACUAAGAACUGGAGACCCAGCACUGAGCCAAAGACACCCCGGGAUUAGAAUCAGAUUGGGCUUCCCUAAAAGGAACACACACACUAAGGAAGUGUCUUUAGGACAGCUAGUAGGAAAGAAGCCCCAAAUAGGAAUCAUUAAAUAAAUAAGUAUACCAAAAUCUAGCUGAGUACUUUUUAUAAAAAAGAGUCCCCUAUUGGAAAAUGUACAACAUACUUGUUACUUUCUUACAUUUAUUUCCUCACUGUACUGUGCUUUUGUUUUAAUCAUCGGUGGUGGGAGCCACCAUAAUAUUUAGAUGUACAGAGCUUGUAUAAUCUGGAGUGAGACCUGAACAGAUGUUACCAUCUCGGCCUCACAAAGACCUGGGAAACACUGACAGGAGACCUCCAGGCAGACAGCUCUGUCUCACAGUUCGUGCGCCUAGGAGUCAAAUACUGUUCUCACCACAAGGUGGCAAAAGACACCCAUGUGUACCUGAUGCCUGUGGAGGUCAGAAGAGGGCUAGAACUGGAGUUCUAGGUAACCACCAAGCUCAGCAAAUGGGUCAUAAGAGAUCUCCAAAAGAGCCUUCAUCCAGUAACUAAUGGAAGCAGAAGCAGAUAACCACAGC